rnacentral:ribozyme from 1 species
UUUUUUUUUUUUUUUUUUUUUUUUUUUCCAUUU